CUUUUAGCAGGUGCUAUAUAAGAAAUAUGUCGAAAUACCAUCAUGGUCGCAUAAUUAAAUUGAAAAUGGAAAUGGGGAAUGUGUCAAAGACAACAACCCGAACAAAGAGCAAAUAACAGCCGAAGGCCACCAAAGGGUAUUCAAUGCAGCGAGAAAAUUCACACAUCCGGCGUGCUUCAGCUGGCCCCUCAAAAAUGUAUAAAUGGUGCAUACUAAACUCCGAAAGAUAUUAAAGAAACUUAACAUUAAAAAAAACAUAUAUAUAAUAAAAGACUUACAAAGGCCAG
rnacentral:lncRNA from 1 species